GUACGUACGCAAGUGUUUAUCUAAUAUUUGCGCGGAUGGCUCAAGAAAUAGUUAAGCCCGAUAGAGAGGAUGUUGUUAUUGCUGAAGAAAUUGGUCGUGUCGGAGUGAUUACGAUAAAUCGGCCAAAUCAAUUAAAUGUCAUUUCAGGCAAAGUGGCAUUAUUGCUGGGAGAGAAACUCGAGAAAUUAGAGAAAGAUGAUAGUACAAAGCUUGUCAUCAUCAAGG